rnacentral:rRNA from 1 species
UACGGAGGGUGCGAGCGUUAUCCGGAAUUACUGGGCGUAAAGCGUACGCAGGCGGCUGCGCAAGACAGAUGUGAAAUCCCCGGGCCUAACCUGGGAACUGCAUUUGUGACUGCGCAGCUCGAGUCCGUCAGAGGGGGGUGGAAUUCCACGUGUAGCAGUGAAAUGCGUAGAGAUGUGGAGGAACACCGAUGGCGAAGGCAGCCCCCCGGGAUGAGACUGACGCUCAGGUACGAAAGCGUGGGGAGAAAACAGG